GUUGCAAGGGCAGCUGGGAGCAAUGCAGUGUGCACAGAGGUGGCACGGCAGGUUCAUUUGGCUCUACAGGUGGCCAGGAAGGUUCCCUGAAGUAGUGGAGUACCCAGAGCUGGAUAACAUGGUCUUGGGACAUCUCUUGAGCUGCUCUGGUGCAGACACACUUGAAAAGAAUGAAGAGCUUGUAAAAGAAAAAGCUGCUGAUGUCAUAGGCAGGGAGUUGGUUGGAAUGUUACAGGAGCCUUGCUUGGAUCCACAGCUGAAGUAGACACAAGAUGGUGAAGUGACAGGAUCAUAGAAUCACAGAAUCAUUCAGCACUAUUUAUAAGUGAUCACCGCUGAAUCGUUCAGCCUCUGGCAACGCCGGCAUCUGACCAGCGGUGGGUAAACAGCAGCUCCCGCCAUACAAUGUCUGGAUUUCCCCUCCAAAGGGUCCUGGAGAGCCCCAGGAGCUCCAGCGCUUCCCGCAUCACAGGAAAACAAAUUUAUCUCCAGAGCCCCCACUGAAAGAAAUGGAUUCACAGAAAUUUUGACCUGGAGUGUAGUUUAAUAGUAAUAAUAAUUUCUUGUAAGGUCAUAUUUUACCUGGAAUCAAGUCAAUGUCUAUAAAAAUGCUAUAAUGAAUUGACAAAAUGAUUCCUGUAAUUUUUUUCUGCUGUUUUUCUUCUACAAAGCAAUUUUGGUUAGCAAAGAGAGAUGCAAGUCCUGGCAACUCAAGUGCCGAAGCAUUGAAAGGCACAGUAGGGAAUUUCAUGGUCAGUGACAUACUUUUAUUUUAAAAUCAUGCUGGAGAACUGAGAAAAACACGGGGACAAAGUUUGCAGAUCAGUGUAGAAAAAGGCUUGUGAGCAGCUAAGGGAGCCUGAAAGCUGAACUUGUGCCUUGAGCCAUUAAUUCUCCAACAGGUGCAAUAGGGUGCAAAGGGGUGACCAGUUUUACCACUCCCAGUCUCUGGUGCUACUGGGACCUGCGUAAAAUUCCCCCAAAAAUUGUGUGUCAGUAACCUGCAGUUUGAGCAGUG